rnacentral:rRNA from 1 species
GCAACCUGAGUAAAGUGGCGUACGGGUGAGUAACACGUGGAUCAUCUACCUUUUAGUGGGGAAUACCCCUGGGAAACCGGGGACAAUACCGCAUAAGCUCGUGAGAGGAAAGCCGAAAGGCGCUGAAAGAGGAGUCCGCGGCUGAUUAGCUAGAUGGUGAGGUAAUGGCUCACCAUGGCGAAGAUCGGUAGCCGGCCUGAGAGGGCACACGGCCACACUGGCACUGAAACACGGGCCAGACUCCUACGGGAGGCAGCAGUGGGGAAUCUUGCACAAUGGGGGAAACCCUGAUGCAGCGACGCCGCGUGAGCGAUGAAGCCCUUCGGGGUGUAAAGCUCUUUCGACGGGAACGAUAAUGACGGUACCCGAAGAAGAAGCUGCGGCUAACUACGUGCCAGCAGCCGCGGUAAUACGUAGGCAGCGAGCGUUGUUCGGAAUUACUGGGCGUAAAGAGUGCGUAGGCGGUGCUCUAAGUUUGGUGUGAAAUCUCCCGGCUCAACUGGGAGGGUGCGCCGAAAACUGGAGUGCUCGAGUAUGGGAGAGGUAAGCGGAAUUCCUGGUGUAGCGGUGAAAUGCGUAGAUAUCAGGAGGAACACCUGUGGUGUAGACAGCUUACUGGACCAUGACUGACGCUGAGGCACGAAAGCGUGGGUAGCAAACAGGAUUAGAUACCCUGGUAGUCCACGCCCUAAACGAUGCAUACUUGGUGUGAGCGAUUCAUUUCGUUCGUGCCGG